CCUAAUUCCCUCUCUCUUGUGCAGCUGCCCCCAUCCCCUCAACCCUAGCCGCCCCCUCCCAUCUCCUCCUCUCCAAGUGAUGUCCUUCCUCGCCGGAUCUUCUUUGUGUGGGUGCAAGUUCGGAUUGGAGAAUUGGUGGGAGGAAGGAAGGAUGAAAGGAGGAACCCAAGGUGAUUUUGUAAUUAACUCUUGUUUAUUUGUGCUGCAAUUCAAUCGAUUAGAUGUUUACGUAUGCGAAUUGGUAGAGGUGCUGCCCAGAAAUUUUGUGGGUGGGCGAACAGCAGUAGUUCUAGCAGAUUCUAGGUAUUUUUCGUGGGUAAUUAGUGGGAAUCAGUGGGAGAAUCAUGUAGAGCUUUGUCAUACCUUUCCAACGAGUACUUAUGCGCUCGAUUCGGAGUUAUAUUUUAGGAGAUAUCGCUGUUUGAAUCCGGGUAUGUUGCUGUUCAAAAAAAACAGAUUUUGCAGGUGGGCGAACAGCAGUAGUAUUAGCAGUUUCUGGGGAUUUUUCGUGGGUAAUUAGUGAUAAUCAGUAUUACAGUCAUGUAGAGCUUUGUCAUACCUUUCUAACGAGUACUUAUGCGCUCGAUUCGGAGUUAUAUUUUAGGAGAUAUCGCUGUUUGAAUCCGGGUAUGUUGCUGUCCAAAAAAACAGAUUUGCAGGUGGGCGAACAGCAGUAGUAUUAGCAGUUUCUGAGAAUUUUUCGUCGAUAAUUAGUGAUAAUCAGUAUUACAAUCAUGUAUAGCUUUGUCAUACCUUUCCAACGAGUACUUAUGAGUUCGAUUCGGAGUUAUAAUUUAGGAGAUAUCAUUGUUUGAAUCCGGUUAUGUUGCUGUCCAAAAACAGAUUGCAGGGUGUAUCUUGUAGACGAGUUUGGGCUAAUUAGAUGUUGAAAUUUAAUUAUCAUUUGAAUAUAAAACUUGUGGGGAAUUUUAUGUAGAUGCUUCCGUAGUUUUUGAUUGAUAUCACUGCUGUUAUAAUUUUAAAGUUAUGAAAUUAUCAAGCAGCGCCGCUGCAGUUUGGUGGUGAUGGGGAGAGUUGUCGCUCGCGACGGGUUGGAAUUUUGCGUAGGUGCGGCGUUGUUUAUUAGCGUUUGUUAUAUUGAUUUGUACACUAAGGUGUGUGUCAAAAACAGGUGGUAGACUUUCGGAUCGUACUUAGUACCAUUCCAAAUUCCCGGUGAAGGCAAGUAAAUGCAGUGGUGGUUCCUACCGUUUGGUUUGCAUCCUAUGCCUUGUCAUUGAGUAUGCAUAAGUAUUAAAUGUGUUAAUCAUUGAAUUCUAUGAUAAAGUUUAUUUGUUCGAAAUAAUUAAUUCUCAAUUGUCUAAUAUUGCGGAUGAUCAUGAUUUGGGAAUGAUAUAUGUGGUUGAUUCCCAUCUUGGAUGAAGUUGAAGUAUCUUUUUGAAUCACGUUGUAUGAAGUGUUGUAGGCAUGUCAUGCACAUCGCAUCAUCCAUCUUGCAUUUUGAAGUUAUGUCGUGAUCUUAUGGUCCGACCGUACCGGUACACUUUUAGCAUCGUACGUUGCCCGAGGAGGGGUACGAUGCGGCUUCAUAUCCUUAGAGGUAUGAAGGCAGAAGUCAUCCUUGCAUUUGCAGACAUUUGCACUCAUGAGGUAUAUAUGAAGUGUGACAUUACUAUGUUACUAUUGUGGUUUCUACCUGCGAGGUGUGGUAACUAGGUGUGUUGUACGUUGUAUUCGUGCUGCACCUUCGUAAUAAGAAGGUUGUGAAAUCAAGUGGUGGUAAAACAAUAUUCUUAUGUGGUUAAACAUUUUGUUAUUAUUUUACUUGCUGAGAUGUGUCAUCUCACUCUUGCAUUACUCAAUGCAGGUACUUGAUAUAUGUUGGGAAUGAGGGGAGUAGCAGCGCGUCCACUUUCACUCUCAUAUUAACGCUGCCCAGGCGCAGCCAUGAUUUAAUUAGAAACUAGAUGUCAAAGGAUGUUUGUUUUUUUACUAGUCGUGUGCACUGGUUAAUUCAGUUCAUGUCGUAUGUUUAACUUCCCUUUGC
rnacentral:lncRNA from 1 species